rnacentral:rRNA from 1 species
CACUGCUCUGACGGAUGCUUUUAUUAGACCAAGCCGCUGAGGACUUGAGGGUUCGCUCUCCUGUCUGACUCGUGUAAUGGUGACUCUGGAUAACCAAUUCUGACAAGCGCACGUACUUCUCUUCUGAGCGAGACGGCGCUGCCACUUUCGAGUGUCUGCCUUAUCAGCUAUCAACCGUUCGUUAUGCGCGACCGAUGGCUUUGACGGGUAACGGGGAAUCAGGGUUCGAUUCCGGAGAGGCAGCCUGAGAGACGGCUACCACGUCCAAGGACGGCAGCAGGCACGCAAAUUACCCAAUCCCAGCAAAUGGGGGAGGUAGUGACGAAAUCUAACGAUGCGGGCGCCCUUUCUGGGGCCCCGCAAUCGGAAUGGGCACUUUCUAAACAACCUGUUGAGAACCUACUGAAGGGCAAGUCUGGUGCCAGCAGCCGCGGUAAUUCCAGCUUCAGCAGCAUCUAUUAAAGUUGCUGCGGUUAAAAGGCUCGCAGUUGAAUGUCUGUAUCGAGCGCAGGUCAGGUGGACGUUGGGGCGUGGAAGUACGGGCAGUUGGAUGUCCGUGGGGCCUUCGUGCUCAACGGCUCUUUCGGCUUUUCCACACACCCCCGUCCGUGACAAGCCUCCUCGCUCGGGUACAUAACGGGAAUCGGUCAAACGGAGUGUGGUUGGAGGUUGGGGUGCGUGGCUUCGGUUGCGUGCUUCUUCUUUCGGCUGCGUUAAGCUCCAUCGGUUUCACGGUCACCUUGAGUAAAUCAGAGUGCUCAAAGCAGUCGUAGGGGCCUUGCGCCCUGUGAACAGUCUUGACGGACUGACUUGGUUUUGCAUGGCAUGUCGGAAGACGACGUCGUGUGCUGGCUCAGAGGAUAAAUCAGUGGUACAAGCCAGCCUCGACGUAAUGAUUAAAAGGGACGGUCGAGGGCAUUGGUAUUGCGAGGCGAGAGGUGAAAUUCUGUGACCCCCGCAAGACCUCCUGAAGCGAAAGCGUCUGCCAAGGACGUUUU